CCUACGGGGGGCAGCAGUGGGGAAUAUUGGACAAUGGACGAAAGCCUGAUCCAGCCAUGCCGCGUGUGUGAAGAAGGCCUUCGGGUUGUAAAGCACUUUCAGUGGGGAAGAAAGCCUUGGGGCUAAUACCCUCGAGGAAGGACAUCACCCACAGAAGAAGCACCGGCUAACUCCGUGCCAGCAGCCGCGGUAAUACGGAGGGUGCGAGCGUUAAUCGGAAUUACUGGGCGUAAAGCGCGCGUAGGCGGUCUGAUAAGCCGGUUGUGAAAGCCCCGGGCUCAACCUGGGAACGGCAUCCGGAACUGUCAGGCUAGAGUGCAGGAGAGGAAGGUAGAAUUCCCGGUGUAGCGGUGAAAUGCGUAGAGAUCGGGAGGAAUACCAGUGGCGAAGGCGGCCUUCUGGACUGACACUGACGCUGAGGUGCGAAAGCGUGGGUAGCAAACAGGAUUAGAUACCCUUGUAGU
rnacentral:rRNA from 1 species